UACGGGGGGGGUAAGCGUUGUUCGGAAUUACUGGGCGUAAAGGGCUCGUAGGCGGCCAACUAAGUCAGACGUGAAAUCCCUCAGCUUAACUGGGGAACUGCGUCUGAUACUGGAUGGCUUGGAUUCGGGAGAGGAAUGCGGAAUUCCAGGUGUAGCGGUGAAAUGCGUAGAUAUCGUAAGGAAGACCAGUGGCGAAGGCGGGGUCUCUGGACAGUUCCUGACGCUGAAGCACGAAGGCCAGGGGAGCAAACGGG
rnacentral:rRNA from 1 species